GCUGCUAUUUACUAUAAACAGCAAGAAGAAGAAGAAGAAGAAGAAGAAGAGAGAAGGAAAGAGAUAAGUAGGAACUGGGUUACCUGAGGCAGAUUUUGGUUUGAUUGUGUCCACUGGGAAUCUGACUUGCAGUGUGAGAACCUACCCAGUUCAGAAAGGAGAAUUUUCUAAUUCUGAAUACUAAGAUGAUAAGGCUAGUAUUUUGCUGACUCCUUGCUCUGCUCAUGAGACAAUGGCCCUGAAUCACUUGACCCAUUUUUCAAAGGAUGAGGCCGACCAUGGACCCUACUGUGACUGUAACGACUGUGCCUACGGAGGCCAGUACUACUGAGGAGUAGAGAAUUAUCCUUACAUUGUCUUUUGUGUAUAUACUUCCGUUGAGAGCACUCUGAUGUCUAUAAUUGUAUAUAGUUACUUGUAAGAAGUUAUACUUUUGUGUAAAUAUUCUUUUGAGAAAAAUGUACAUAUAUGUGUUCUUUCAUUUGGAUAAUUGUAAUAUAAAGUAUCACUUAGAGACAUUGGAAGUGAUUAUGCAAUAUAUUUUGCAUAUGGACUGUUUAUAUCAUUAAGAACUCUGAUUUAUAGUUGUGUGUUGUGGUGA